GCCUCCUUAGCUCAGUUAGGUAGAGCAGAAGACUCUUAAUCUUUUGGUCGUAGGUUCGAUCCCUACAGGGGGCACCA
rnacentral:tRNA from 1 species